GCUCCCUCUUCUUGAAAGCUUCACCCAAAUCGAAAAACCCUAGACCUAAUGGCUCGGCUCAACGCUUCCUCUGAUUCAAAUUGACCCCAAAUUAAAAACCCUAGCGUGAAGAGAUCAGAGUUCGCUGCCAUCAAUUGUCCGAUUCUUGCUUCUUUUUUACCGUAGCGUCCAUCACUGCAACAGUAGAGAUUCUCGCCUUUGGUCUCCAUAAAUCCCCCCCUUAACGCUCUUGUUUUUGCAAGCCUUUCCUUAUGUGUCUUGAGUUUCUCUUGUGUGGGAAAUUUUGUUCUCUGUUUUUUGGUCUUUAGGCUAUUUUCACCUCUUUGAUAUUUGAACUUUUUUCCCACGGCUGCAAAGCGUCCUCGACUUGCCCAAAUUUUGCGUCGUUGUAGUGGUCCAGUCCAAUCGUCGAGUUCGGUUCAAGAGCACAAAUAUUUGUCGUUGCCGCCGCGGUGAUCUCAGGUCGGUAAAUGCAACUCAGUCAGGUUGUCUUCUCAAAGAAUCCACCUGCUCAUCGACGGGCUCGAACACAACGAAUCUCUUAGCAUCGAAUUAGAGCCUGGGAAGUGACCAUGUCGUGUUCGAAGGUGAUAUCUAGAUUCUUGCAGGGACCCAUUGCUUUGGGAGAAGCUCCUGCGGUCGACACUGGAAAGUCAACUAGCGCCCCCUUGUUCGGCCGGAUCUUUGUCAUUAUCGAUCAUGCUGCUGGUUGAGGUAAACAGAAGCCUGCGAAUGCGCUUUCUCCUGCGGGAUCAAAGAGCGCUUGUUCAACACCACCCAAGGGUCCUCAAAAAAGACUUUCGACUGAGGCUCUGAAGCCAAUCCGUAAAAAUCUCCGCCUCGCAGCAGCCAUUGACACCUCAAGAAGCGGCUUUAAGGUUGGUGGCUGCGAUUCUAAAAAAAAUGAUAGCGAUGCCAUCGUUCCUGACGGGCUCGUCCCUCAAAACAACAUGGCGGCCUCCUCGGUACAUGUAUAGACUCACAUUUCCAUCGAUUUGGUCGAGUGUUGGGCAUCCCUUUAGGGCUCUACCCUUCCAUGUUCUAGUGGAAUGAAAUCUUCUUUUUUCUUUUUUUUCGUAUAGUGGGCCACCAAGCCGUUGAGAAUUUCCAAACAUCCGUGAGAAUUUUUAAACAUCCGUAAUAAUAACCAUAGGGUGUUGCCGUAGGCCGUGUGUAUCUAUUUGAUAGGCCAUAAGCCGUCCAUUUUC